rnacentral:lncRNA from 1 species
AUGUAUUUAUUGCGCGGCGGACGUCAGAUCCGUGCAGACUGUGACGUACUCCUCUCGUGCAUAGCAUUAUGCUGUCGUGGCCUCUACGUCAUCACGCUGCCAGCUGAUCGGAGUGGAAAGCCGGGUAGGAAGAGAGGGAGGGAGAGAGAGAGAGAGAAAAGGAGAGAGAGAGAAAAAGAGUUGUGUAAAAAGGGGCUGAAGUCCUGCGCUGCGUCCUCCUCCUCCUCUUCUGCUCCUCCACUGCUGCGUUGGAAAAAGUGCCCUCUCCACGGCACCUUCGCACGUCUCUCUGGCUGUUUAAAUAUCGCGGAUGAAAAGCAAACAGAAAGACUUGACUGCGACACACCCUUGCUGAAGGUCCAGGACGAGGUCUGGCGAGCGGUGGGCGAGGCAGCCCGAACUCCGCGCUGCGCUCGCUGGCUGACCGCGCAGGAGCGACCCGGCCGGCGGUCAAGAAGUGAAGCCAUCUUGCUCAACUUGGGUUACACCCAUCAUUCCUCUUGCGUGUCUUGUCAAAGGAGGAUGGGGCAAGAGGAGAUGUGGCGCGAAGGUUCGUUUGAGGGGGGGAAAAAAAAUCCAGUCCUUUCAAACAAAAUGGCACAGAGUGCCUGAGGGACAGGCUUACAGGGCCUCGUGCAGCACAUCUCCCAGGAUGUCAGGAAUCCAGGAAGGCUCAGCUCCGGGUGAAACGUGGCGGAACCCCCUCCUCAUUUGCCGUGAGGGUCAGACCGUGUUCAAAGUCCAGCAAAUGGGGAGCAGCGGCGCAUAAGAAGUGGCUCUCUGCACUGUGAUGAGUGUGUUGCCAAAGCC